rnacentral:rRNA from 1 species
GACGAACGCUGGCGGCGUGCUUAACACAUGCAAGUCGAACGCUGAAGCUCCAGCUUGCUGGGGUGGAUGAGUGGCGAACGGGUGAGUAAUGCGUGAGUAACAUGCCCUUGACUCUGGGAACAGCCUGGGAAACCGGGUCUAAUACUGGAUCCGACGUCCUACCGCAUGGUGGGGCGUUGAAAGGGCUUUACUGGUUUAGGAUGGACACGCGGCCUAUCAGCUUGUUGGUGAGGUAGUGGCUCAACAAGGCUCCGACGGGUAGCCGGCCUGAGAGGGCGACCGGCCACAUUGGGACUGAGAUACGGCCCAAACUCCUACGGGAGGCAGCAGUGGGGAAUAUUGCACAAUGGGCGGAAGCCUGAUGCAGCAACGCCGCGUGCGGGAUGACGGCCUUCGGGUUGUAAACCGCUUUCAGCAGGGACGAAGCUAACGUGACGUUACCUGCAGAAGAAGCACCGGCUAACUACGUGCCAGCAGCCGCCGUAA